UACAGAGGGGGCAAGCGUUAUUCGGAAUUAUUGGGCGUAAAGGGCGCGUAGGCGGCCAUUCAAGUGACGGGUGAAAGCCCUCGGCUUAACCGAGGAACUGCCUGUCAGACUGGAUGGCUUGAGACCGGGAGAGGUGAGUGGAAUUCCCAGUGUAGCGGUGAAAUGCGUAGAUAUUGGGAGGAACACCAGUGGCGAAGGCGGCUCGCUGGACCGGUUCUGACGCUGAUGCGCGAAAGCGUGGGGAGCAAACGGG
rnacentral:rRNA from 1 species